rnacentral:rRNA from 1 species
CCUACGGGGGGCAGCAGUGAGGAAUAUUGGUCAAUGGACGAGAGUCUGAACCAGCCAAGUAGCGUGAAGGAUGACUGCCCUAUGGAUUGUAAACUUCUUUUAUAAAGGAAUAAAACGAGGCACGUGUGCCUUUUUGCAUGUACUUUAUGAAUAAGGAUCGGCUAACUCCGUGCCAGCAGCCGCGGUAAUACGGAGGAUCCGAGCGUUAUCCGGAUUUAUUGGGUUUAAAGGGAGCGUAGAUGGGUUGUUAAGUCAGUUGUGAAAGUUUGCGGCUCAACCGUAAAAUUGCAAUUGAUACUGGCAGUCUUGAGUACAGGUGAGGUAGGCGGAAUUCGUGGUGUAGCGGUGAAAUGCUUAGAUAUCACGAAGAACCCCGAUUGCGAAGGCAGCUUACUAAACUGUGACUGACAUUGAUGCUCGAAAGUGUGGGUAUCGAACAGGAUUAGAUACCCGAGUAGUC